UUGGCUUAGGUGAUGCCCAAAUAUGAUCUCUCCAGGCUCGCUCGCCUUUGUUCUUUACAAAGGAAGCAAGACCAGCUUGCUUGGUAAACACGUGCUGGGGACUUGAGUAAUUCUGUGGCCGAUUGUAACUGAUAUGUUAAUAGGCCAGCGAAACUUGGGCUUUACAUACAUUGCUCCUUAAAGUGGAGACUGCGGAUGGUGUGGGGGAGGGAGCGGCAGGGCAGGCUGGGUCCCCUGCACUUUCCUCAGCCUACCCGGCACUGAUUCCACAUUAACAUGCAGCAGGCAUGGGAAAAUGAUAAACUCCUACACCACUGUCAUGGCAACUGAAAAAAUGGCCGCUUUAGAGGGGUGCGGGGAACGAGGGCCACAGGCAAAGAAAAGCCAAGGCCUGUCUCUUUUUUUCCUGGCUGACAUCUGUCGUUUAACAUACAAAAUUGUAUUAUCGCGAUGAUGAAGGCGCGCUGCCCGGCUGGAGCCUCGCCCAGGAAUGAAGGGAGUCGGGCUCUGAAGGAGGAGUGAAUAAGCCCUCCGACAUUUCCACCUAGACGUCCCCCCACCUCUUAGCACUCCAGGCUUGAGCCAAAGCUCUGGAGGGAGCCACUUGAUUUUACGGGGUCUUGGAUAAGGAAUGGUACAGUAGCUGAGGUGAGUAACAGGUCUUUGGAUGGCUUUCGUCCAUCAGUGGGCUGUUCCAUGAAGAGCUAAAGAGACACUGUCUCGCUGGAAAUCUUUGAGAAUGAUCUGUGGACACUCUGGUAUAGCAUAAGAAGGGUCCAUUUGUUAUGGUGACAUCAAUGUACCCAGGAAAGCUUUGUGAUACUUCCCAGUAGCUUUCGGACAAGGAGAAAGCAGAGGUGGAAACCAAUGCGUCCCCACUGGCCCAAGAGGAAGAACUUCACGGCUGAUACCUUCUCCAGCAGUUGGGGAUUCCCUGUGGUGGCAGAUCCAGGCUGUGGGGACUCCAGGACUCACGUACAAAGUGGGGCAGUUGCCAUCCUAACAUCCAGGAUGCAGAAACAGGGUCCCCGAGGCAAGCUGGCCAGCCUGACUAUGGGUGACUAGCCCCAGGUUCAGUGACAGAUCUUGCUUCAGUGAAUAAAGUGAAGACUGAUGACGACACCCAUCAACUUCUGCCUCUACACACGCCUGAACAUAGGCAAACAUACGCACGCACGCGUACACACACACACACACCACACCACACCACAUUCAUACCUACCUACCUGUACCCUCUCCCUUCAGCGGCCCGGGUGUGUCUCAGUGGGAGAGCAAUCGCCUAAUAUGAGCAUGGCCCAGGAUUGCAUUCCCAGCACUAAAAGUAAAAAUAUAUAUUGACCACCACCUGGCAUUCUGAACACAUCUUUUCCCCAAGCAGGAUUUUACAACAACAUUCUUUGAUCACGUGGAAAUGACAAGAAAACUGUUUUGCACAGAUCAUCCAAUUAUUGACAGAUUUGAUUAUCAAACAUGAAAAAAGAAUCCUAUUUGUGCAUAUCACCAUUGUCCUCACUUACACAUGUGAGUGGGGACUGGACAGAUGGCUCAGUGGUCAAGAGCACUGGCUGCCCUUGAAGAGGACCUGGGGUCAGUUCCCAGCACCCAGAGGGUGGCUCACAGCCAUCUGGAACUCCAUCCAGUUCCAGAGAUCUGAUGCCAUCUUCUGACUUCCAAAGGUAUCUGUGUGCAAAUGGCCCACAUAGGUCACAUACACAUAAAACAAAUCUAAAAAUGUCUAAAGGACUGGAGAGCUGGCUCAGAGGUUAAGAGCACUGGCUGUUCUUCCAGAGGUCCUGAGUUCAAUUCCCAGCAACCACACUGUGGUUCACAACUAUCUGUAAUGAGAUCUGGUGCCCUCUACUGGCCUGCAGGCAUACAUGCAGGCAGAACACUGUAUGCAUAAUAAAUAAAUAAAUCUUUAAAAAAAUGUUUAAAAAUAAAUAAAAGAAGCAUGUGAGUAUCAUGGA